CAACCUGUGGGGUACCUGAAGUAUUAAGCACAACUAUAGUUAAAAUGGUUUUUACCUUGGCCUGGUGAUGAAAUGCAAUUUAAAGUUACUGGUUCCACGCUAAACAGAUCACACUGCAAUAAACACAGGCACCAUUAUUUACUAAGACAGCAUGGGCAAAGAAUAGCAUGAUAUAAUAUAUAGUUUCAGAGUUAAAGACAACAAGUCUUACCUCUUUU